UCAAUGGAAGAAUCGAUCAAUUUCUCUUUCAACCAGUUUUAAUCGACGACUGAAUUAAUAUAACAUUGAUAACAAAUUAAACGAUAUUCGAAAGAUGGAAUCGAGAAGGAAAGGAAAAAGGAAAUAUCAUCCGGACCCGCCCACCCGUUUUCGGGGUUGUAAUAUUUGAAACGAUCAGAGGUCGGAACAGGCAAUAAGGCAGGAAAACCCUUUUAUUCACAGUGGCAACUUAUCCUCGGCCGCCCUCUAUUCGUAUUCAUUAUUUCGCCUCUCUCCUCGCCGCUUUAUUAAGUAUUUCAACGUGCAAAGCCGUAAAGAAAGGGGAACAUGGAACAGUUACCCGCCCUCCUCCCGUAUCCUUGGCCUGCCUUCUUCUCCCUUGGCGAAACGAAAUUCAUAAAUACGCUCGAUAACAAGAAUUGAAAGAAUAAAUUCUACGUUAUUUAUCUCGUUAUGUACUCGAUAAUCUGCGAUAAUCUCUGAACUAAUCCUUCAAAGAACUCCUCUCCGCCCCUUCACGAUUCCUCUCACGAAGAUUCGAGUCGAGAGUAUCGCGCGAUUAUUGCCCGAUUAUCCAAGUCUCGCUUAAUCGAUUCGUGUGGCAAAACUGCACAAUUGGCUGCAGUUUAGGAAUUGCCCAUUUCCAGUAAACAGUUCAUGGAUUCCCAAAGGACAUUUACCACGCUCCACGAUUAAUCCUUGUCACGUUGCGGAGUCACGUUUUUCCACAAAAUUUUGAAAAAAAGAAAAAAAUGAACGUUUCAAAAUCUCGUUUCAAAAUAUAUACAUAUAUAUAUUUUUUCAAUCCGGAGAGAAGUGCGUUCCAAAAAUUCCAAUAUUGCUUCCAUUGUGAUGUAUCGUUUCGAUUUCGAUUAAUAUAUGCUACUUUUUCACUCGAAUCGAUCUCGAGAGUCGAUAGUUUGUACCUGUGCCAACUUCAGUUAACGCGAGGAUAACUCCUCCUAUCCUAUCUGCAUCGGUAAGAUUUUUAAGGAAAUCGCUGACUUGAAACGAGAUUAGCCAAAAGCGUGAAAAAAAAAA